UACGUAGGGGGCUAGCGUUGUCCGGAAUCAUUGGGCGUAAAGAGCGUGUAGGCGGCUUGGUAAGUCCGCUGUGAAAGUCCAGGGCUCAACCCUGGAAUGCCGGUGGAAACUGUCAAGCUUGAGUCCGGAAGAGGCGAGUGGAAUUCCUGGUGUAGCGGUGAAAUGCGCAGAUAUCAGGAGGAACACCAAUGGCGAAGGCAGCUCGGUGGGACGGUACUGACGCUGAGACGCGAAAGCGUGGGGAGCAAACAGG
rnacentral:rRNA from 1 species